GAGAUGCUGGCAUCGCUCAGCAGGCAGCAUGUUGUCCAUGAGCUGGGAACUGCUGCUUUGCAGGCUGCUCACAUGUAACACAUUGCUCAUAAUGCUGGCUCGUAGGUCAUUUAAUCAUUUAAAUAUUUGUGCUUUAUUACUGAAAAUAAGUUCCGUGAUUAAUCAUUAACAUCAGAGCAACCUCUGCCGGCUACUGGGGACAGAGCUCUCAGCAGCAUAACGCGUUAAAAGAUCUGAAUUCGAUAUGCCUGCUGUAUGAUUCACACUUUUAUUGUCUCUCAAACCCAUUAGUAUUUAAGUACAAGUAAUGGUAUUUUGCCUAGAAUUUAGGCAGAAUAUAAAAUAAAUGUACAGUGGGAGCUUUGCCAAGUUUGAAGAACUCCUCAUUGGCACUGUAGUCCCGAGAGCAGCAGCUUCUGGCAAAGUGAACGCAAACACAGAGACUUCCCUGAGUACAAAGGAUCCUCGUCGAGGCCCCGGUGCCACAGCUCAGAUGGCAUAAUUAAGUUCAAACCAAGGAAGAAAGUCCUUGCCUGGAUAAAGACAGAUACCAUCGGCUCUUGUUUUUUUUGGAAAGUAACUAUCAGAAAGACCUGAUAUUCCUCCAAGUGCCUUUCUAGAAAUUAAAAAAAAAUCCAUUUUAGGGUAAAAAAAAAAUAAAUUUUCUAAAUGUCCUUCUAUUGCUGUUUUACAGAUGAGAAACUGAGACGCAGACUGAUCCCAACUCCCAGCUCUCUCAGAUUAUUUGGCUUAGAAAUAACAUUGAGGAUCAAUGGAAGAUCAUAUCCAUUUGGAGGUACAGUCCAUUUGUAAGAUUUUGGGACAUUCUAUAUCCUCACCCAGUGCCACUGCUUGAGGGUGAUAGCAGAGAUGAGUUAAUGUCACCUCCAGUAUCCGCGUACCUAAUGGCCAGCUGUCCUCAAGGAAGAGGGCUAAAAUCAGCAGCUCAUUUAACUCAGCAGACUGUUGAGAACUCUCCAUGCAUAAGUUUUUUACUUACGUGCAUAAGCUGGAUGCAAACUGCUUGACUAAAUUGCAAAAACCAAAUUCAUCUUUUCCAGUUUGCAAGCUCCUCUUCUGAGCGCCCAUUCAGUAUGGAGAUACCAACAGUGUUGGGAGAUUUUAUUUCAUUUUUUGUUGCUAGUUCUAUAUAAUGGAAGUAUAUCAAGUGCUGUGCAUAAGAUGUUAUUAGGACAUUAGGAUUACUCAUUGCAAAGACACGUGUAAUAUAGAGUGGCUGUUUCCUUGCACAGCGUGGAACCAGAAUGCCUGCCAGUUGGAAAUGAAGUCACCUUCCAUUUCAGGCUGACUUCUCUACAAAAUAUGAGUUUUCCUGUGGAUCUGGAAUUGCCAGGCAUGUUGGAUAGGAAGUAGUUGAGAAACCCAACCUUUCUGGAAGGUGGGGAGCUUGGAAAUACACUGACACCCUUCUCCAAUUUCUUGGCUCAGCCGCUUGUAUUCAGCUGAUAUGAAAUCCUCUCUUUCAAGAGGGCACCUUUUCUGCCUACUGUGGUUUUGCAGCUCUGGUAGCAUUAAUGCCAUCUCCUAGAGCACAGCAGGCUUUUCCAUUAGGAUCUAGGAAGAGCCAGGUUGGAUACAGGCUAGCAGAACCCACUGAAGAUUUCGGGACCUCCAAAUACUUUGUCUUGUACAUUUAAGGAUUCCACAAAAUACAUGUAAGCAGAGAUUAAACGUUCAAAGGAGAGCACAGAUGGUUGAGUAGCACUCAUUUUGAUCACCAACAUUCCUAAAAGUUCUAGCCAAAAGGAAAGGAUUUUCCUUUAUGUGAGAAAAGAUUGACUUCUGAGACCCUUGUAUUUAAAUACCAGUAGCUGGUGCAUCACCACUGAUGUAGGUUGUCAUUUCUGAUUAAAAAAAAACAAAACAAAACAACUCUGUAUCAACAUAAAAUUAUUGUGCAGCAAUUUAAUGGCACAGCUCUUCUCUAUGAGCUCAGAAAACAUCCCAUUAAGUCUUUCACGAAUUGCCACAAUAACUUCUGCUGACAUGCUCAUUUGUUCUCAUCUCCGAAUAAAUCUGCUCGAUGACUUCCACAGGACAGAGCAGGGAUUUCCCAGGCCGUGAUUCAGCACAGCUUCAUUCCAGCACCUCGGUGUUCUCCCCAUCUCAGCUCUGGGUGAGGCUGAGGUUGGAGAUGCCACUUCACACCAGCUCAGAUGGGGGCUGUGUGUGCUGCACGGCGCUGGUGUGAGACAGCUGAUGAAAUGUUUUUUGCUUCUCUCUCGGAUCUAUUUCAGUGCUCUUCACCAUCUGGUGAAACACUUCAAGGAAGAAAACAGCCUUGCAAUGUCUCAUUUUGCCGUGGUUUUUGAGCAUUAUUUUAAUGAUCUUUGUGUCAUUUAAGUAUGAUUACUUGUCCUCUAAGGCUUUUCCUGUUUAUACUUAAAUAGUGUUGGAGCGUAGCCAGACACACUUUAAACAAAAUGAUAGAAAAUAGUACUUUUUUUUUAUUUUUUGUCAUAAAAGCUUAAAAGAAUCAUUUACAAUUUGGGAACAUAGUGGCACUUUGCAUUCUGGUAGGGUUUUGUCUUUUUUUUUUUUAAUCUCCUUGUAGUAGUAGAAAAAUAAAUGAAUUAAACAAGCGUAAUUACCAGUUAAAUUUUACAAAAUACCAAAGAAAUGGAAGGCUUAAUUCAAAAGGGUGGUAAUGGUAUAAAUAAUUAAGUCAAAUUGUUUUCAUUUUCAUGCCGCAUAUUGUUUCCUUCAGACUGUAAUGGUACAAGGCAAAGUAUGCGCCGUGCUAGAACAAGACAAAUAACAGAUAAAUUUAUUCAUAAACACUUUGUGGAUUUGUAAUUAGAAGUUCACUGCGGCGGUUUUCACUGGUCUUUAUUUUUUUCCCCAAUUUCUGUAAAUAUUUGCAUGAUUAAAUUUUUGCUUUGAGAAUGCAGACAGAUGCAGAAUGCACUGCGGAAGUGCUGUGAAACCUUCCUUAUUUCUUGGCUGUAGUGGCAACCAGAUCCCCAGCAUCCUCAACACAGCAUGGCCAUCUGCCAGCUGGGUUAGCCAGCACCACGCCUAUGGAGGUUGGGAGCUGUUGGGAUGGGUUUGUGUGUGGCAGUUUUCCCUCUUUUAAUUAAUUAAUACCCAAAAAAGGAGUUUUUCUGACCCACGGAUGAUAAUGACCUGGUAGAUAUCAAAUUCACUGGACUUCAGGGACCAGCAGUGACUUCUGCCAGAAAAUGGGGGCUGACAAAUGAAAUGAUUGUGUAGGACAAAUGCAGCACCAUAUACAUGAAACACUACGAUCAUUGCCUACGUUUUGUGGGUCUGGCAUGCAGAAUGCCUUCAGUGCUGUAUCUUCAAUGAACCCAUUUCGGUGUAAAGUUGUGAUAACCUGCGGAGAUCAGAAGAUCUCCUGAGGGUCAAUACGCACCAUUACAAGACUUCAAACGCCAGGUGAUGAUACUGAAAGGGACAUCCAGAGCUCCACAGGUUCUGAACCUGUUUGUGGAACUACCUCUUGGUUUAUUUUGAGCAUGGUACAAAUUUACUAAAAUUAAACUUUUGAAAAUACGAAGACACAGAAGCAAGUUAAACCUCCUGAGUAAAUUUGCCAUUCAGCACGCUCUAGAUGUAUUCACUUUUUAUGAAAGUAAGACUAUGCUAGGAUUACCUGUAUUUCCUUGGGGUAGGGGUCCUUAUUCUGCCCCUGUUGCACUCACACAGAUCCUACUGGUACCAUAAUGUGAGCAGCAGAGGUUGCAGCACUGCUCACAGCUCUUGCCUGCAGGUAGCCCAUGAACAUCGAUAUCUUCCAUCAUUGCAUCAGUGCAGCGUGAAGUACCAGGUGAGCUUGUGUCUGUGCCCAGCCCCAGGGAAGGAUUUGCCAUACACUAAUGUGCUAAAAUGAGCUGGGCUGGGGUCAAAACAGCAAGGUCCUCAACUCUGCUGAUUCACUGCUUAUCCUUCCAGCAGCCCGAGGGAGCUGCAACAUGUGUGGUGCUUCCCUUACCCUCUCGCUGCAGUGGAGCACGGCUUCUGCAUAGCACUACUGGCCUCUGCUGCCAGCACGGGAGAGGAGGAGAGAAGAGAAAUUGAAGGGGACUUUCCACCUCCCUGCUUUUCUGGAGGGCCUCCUGAUCCCUGCCUAUGAGCCGGAGGAAAAGCAAUCUUUCAUCCUUACCUUAUUUCCAUGCUUACAAAUAAAGGUCAAGGCUCCUCUGCUGUAUUCAAUGCUGUACCAGCUUUAAACAACCACCCUGAAAUGUAAUUGUAAUUAGUUUCCUUUCAAUCUUGAUGUGAAGAGUGAUCUUAAAAUGCCAGGGCUGUAGCAGCGCAUGUGAUUAACAAGCACAGAGAAAGGCAAUGUGUGGAAAAAUAUGGAUAGAAAUGAACAAAAUGCAAAUGUUGCACUGCUCUAAAUUUUAUUAUCCUCUCAGCUCUUCAUAAAAUACUGUAGACAUCAUUUGAUUAUAUUUUUAGUCUAGGGAAUUAAUUUUUAACUAGGGAACUCAUUUCUGCCUUAUGAUUACUCUUCUCUGCAGUGGCCUGUAGGUCUGAACUAAAAAAUCACAGUUUUAAUUGAGCUAAUGAUGCCCAGAACUCACAUUAAUCUCACUUAUGUGUGUGUCAUGCCAUGCAGCAUGUGCUAUAGCUGCCAGUAACGUGUGCAUCAUUUCAUACCAAUGAUUCCUCCAGGGGACCAAGUAAAUCCUGGCUGGCUUGGGUCUGUAUCCCACUAUAGUCACUGCCCAGAAGACUCCUUGGAAAUGCUGAUGACUGGGCAGCCAGCAGAGGGAAAAGAAAAUAGCAAAAACAGCAUUCGUGAUCAGCCUCCAUGUCCACCCCAGCUCUUUCAAGAACUUUUAACACCUGCACAUUUUGGCUUGUGACAUCCAGACUCACAGUAGGGAUCAACAAACAUUUGGGAAUCUAUAGAUCUAUAUGUUCACCUCAUCCCACAGCCACCAUCCCACAGCCUCGGUUUUCAACUCUCUGUGCUGGAAUCCACAUUAAACAGAGCAGUGAAGUUCCAAUUGUUUGUUGUCAAAGAGUUUCAGUUUUGUGAUGAAAGAUGUGACCUUUCUUUGCGGCAAGAGUCCUUUCUGAUUGAUUAGUAAACAUGAGGUAAAAUGCAGGAGCACGCCAGCGUUAACUUGGUACUGCCACUGGCUCUGUGCAUCAAAUAUUUUUGCUUUAUUUUGAACAUCCUGUUAAUGAGAAAAACAUUCUAAUCAAAGAAACGUGUUUCCUUCAAUUCUCUGCACAGUGUUAUUUGCUGCUUCAGAAUGACAUGCUCAAUUAUAUCUGUUUUAUUCCCAAAUUAGAAAAAAAGAAAAAAAAAAAAGCUUCAGAGAAUUAUUAACUAAGACUCUUAACAAGUGUUAAGCAACAUCCAGUAUUAAUUAUUUAAUCAUUUUUUUAAUUCUUUCUCAUCAGGUAAGAAGAGAAUAGCAUGCUUGCUCAGAGGAUGGUUUUUUGCUUAGCACCAUUGUGCUCAGGACUGGACUCCAAAAGCAAACACAAGGUAAGAGGCCUCUGCAGACAUUGAUGGGCACAAACCUUUUAAUUAAAGCCACCAGAGAGGCAGUGUAAUCGAGUGCAAGGAACAGCAUUUCUGUGUGCAUUAUGAUACAUGAGAAAUGGGCUGGGGAAGGACCCAACAGAGGCUGAGUACAAGAGAGAGGUGCGCACGCCACAGAGCAAGCAAACUGGGCAGAGGUUGCAUUCUGGAUGAGGACACCAAGGUUCACGUACUCGUGGCCUCAUAUGAGCACCCCAGCCACUUCCAGCCUCCCCCAGUAUUGCCCUCUCUGUUCUCCCACCACCCAUUGCCCUUUCCCAUUUUCCCAGAUCUCACCACACUCCAGGAGCACACCAAAAGAGUUAUCUCAGGACGUGGCAGACUCCUCAAUGCUGAGCAGCUUCUCAGAGAGUGUGUGGGCUUUGAGAAGAAGGAUGCCUUUUAUUUGUGUUCUGUUCCCUAACAUUUGGAUAAAGCCUCAUUCAUCUCAGCCAUCCUCUGCUGCUAGGAGAAACCCCUGUUUGUGGCAUUGUGGAGAGCCCAUUUUGGGCUGCUGUGGUCCUCUACUGCUUCCCUUUAGGACUCUGAUGAUACCUGUGUGAACAAGCAGAAGAGUGCCAUGCCAAGAAAUGGGCACAUGUAUUACUUGGGUGCAUCAUUUAAUCAAUUCCCUCUGUGUUAUAAUUUCCUCUGCUACUCAAAGGACCAUGGACCUUGCACACUGCUGCCAUGAUCCAAACUUAAGUUUUGGCAUACAUUGCUUUCUUUUCAUGAUCCUUCACAUCACUGGUAUCUCCUUCUUCCUUUCCUUCAAGUUGUAGCCAAGCUCUUGACUGGAUUGGGUCCCUAUUGGUGAGGUACAGAAAAAACAUGGCAGCUUGGCCCAUCUCUUUGGCUCCACCUCUAGAAAGAGGGAAGUCUCCAUGUCCACGUGCAAAUUUCCUCACAUUUCAGCAGCCUGGCCUUAGGCCAUCGAGCCACCUUCGCUGGCACUGCUGAUACUUGGCAUGAAGUUCUCCCAUCCUAAUUCCUGCUAGAACAGAUUGUGCAGAACACAUCAUGGUUUGAAGGCUGUCCAAGAGGUGCUCUGUGGGUUGGAAGUCCUCAUCUAGGUCAGGAUCAAUACUUAAUGAAAACCCUUGUGAAGCAAGGCCUGCUCCUCAGCUCCUCUGUUAUGGAGGAUUAUUUGAUUCACUUACAGGAGCAUGCAGUACUUUGCUAAAUCAUUUCUAGAAGUGUUGCCAUGAAAUAUUUCCUCCAAGAGCAAUAAAGGACCCUCUAUAUUUUUAAGUUUGUCAGAAAGACUUUGCCACAGUAUAAAAUAUAGGUGCCUUCAAGAAUAAGCUUCUUGUUAGCUGAAAUAGUCCCUCUGUAUACAUAAAUGCACAGUGCCAUGCACUUUUUUUUUUUGUGUGUGUGUGUGUGUGUGUAUCACAAUUUCAUUCAUAUAAAAACGAUUUAUGGCAAUUCCAUCAACUGCCAUUUAAGGGGGCUCGUUAAGUACAGCAGGAUGUGAUUAGUCCCACAGGGGAGCUUGUGUUUUAUCAAAAGAAAACAACAAUCAGCUGGUAGAGCUACUUACAGCAGGGAAAGGAAUGGUGAGAAGGAGAGCUGAAGGGAGCAGCGACCACUAGGAGAGUGAGUACUGGCUAUGAGACAAGAAGCUUUUGAAUCUACAUUGGCAGAAAGACUCUGUGUGUGCAGCCACCCCAUGGAUCCAAGGGAAACUGUGUGAGAUGGAUGGGGCUGGUGGUCCCAGGCAUAUUCACCUGCAGUGAAGUUGAUGCAAACUUGACACCAACACCAAGCACUUCUAUCCAAACUUCAACUGAAACUCCGAGCCAAGCAGGUUGGAUGACAGGCACACCAACACCAACCUUGGGAAGAGCAACUGUGAGUGUGGGGAACCUUUCAACACAGAAAAGAACUGUGGAAAAAUGAAGAUGCAUGUUGGUGGCAGAGCAUAAGUGCUACACAUCCCCUUCCAGCAGCACCUGGAGACAUUUCCAGAAGUCUCUGCCUGGACACAUGCUGCUGGACCAAACCUUCCUGUUGUAAAGCAAAGGACUAAAGGAAGCCGAAUUCAUGGAAGGAGAAGCACUUAUUUAGGUAAGGAGGCACCAACACUGUGUUUGAUUUCUUGGUACAAGUAAUUAAGCCGACUUCACUUAUGUGAUUCUAAGAUUUCUACCUGAAUUAUUGGAACUUUUAAAUUCUACCACAAUGAAUGAGUAUAUUCCUCUACCUUCACUUUGAUUUUUUUAUCUGAUAAAAUCGAUCUAUUUUGAUCGAUAUAAAAACAAAUAUUUGAGCGUAGGAAAUGCAUGGUUUGCUCCUUAUAGCGUUUCAGUGCAUGAUUACUUUUGUGUUCAUGUCAAUGUGCUGAACACAAAGCAUGGAAGGAGCAGAAGCAAAGGUGCACCAUUACCACAACCCUGCCUCACCUUCUCUGGGCUGACAUGACAGCUUUAAUCACACUCCUUUCAGGCUGUGCUUUGGCAGUAGAGGUAUUGAUAAGGCUAUGCAAUAGGAGAGCAGUCUCAGUGAUCUGUCUUAUGAAAAUUGUAGGCUUUUGUUCCUCCUGUUAGCAAUAGUAGGUGUCUGUCUAUCAUUCGUUAAUCAGUCCUUGCUGGAUAUUAGAGUGGAAAGAAGGAAGGCACAGAUUUCACAGCUAGGCAGAAACGUGGGGAAAGAAGUGUAGCUGCAGCCUUCUGGGUACACAGUGUGCUCUCACAGAGAUGGGAGGGGAAUGUAGGGCAAACUGUCUGCAGGAACCACGGGUCUCAGCUCUGCAGGAACCUUCCAAGCUACUUUUUCCAAAUUUCCUCCUAUCUGUGCAAACCACAGCUUAUAUAACCCAGUGUGAGGUACUUCCACUGCAGAAUA